AUUGAACGCUGGCGGCAGGCCCAACACAUGCACGCCGAUCGAGUGGCGGACGGGUGAGUAAUGUCUGGGAAACUGCCUGAUGGAGGGGGCUAACUACUGGAAACGGUAGCUAAUACCGCAUACCAUCGGAUGUGCCCCGAUGGGAUUAGCUAGUAGGUGGGGUAAAGGGUCACCUAGGCGACGAUCCCUAGCUGGUCUGAGAGGAUGACCAUCCACACUGGAACGGAGACACGGUCCAGACGGCUACGGGAGGCAGCAGUGGGGAAUAUUGCAGAAUGGGCGCAAGCCUGAUGCAGCCAUGCCGCGUGUAUGAAGAGGGCCUUCGGGUUGUAAAGUACUUUCAGCGGGGAGGCGUUACCCGCAGAAGGAGCACCGGCUAACUCCGGGCCAGCAGCCGCGGUAAUAC
rnacentral:rRNA from 1 species